GAUGAACGCUGGCGGCGUGCCUAAUACAUGCAAGUCGAGCGAACAGACGAGGAGCUUGCUCCUCUGACGUUAGCGGCGGACGGGCGAGUAACACGUGGAUAACCUACCUAUAAGACUGGGAUAACUUCGGGAAACCGGAGCUAAUACCGGAUAAUAUAUUGAACCGCAUGGUUCAAUAGUGAAAGACGGUUUUGCUGUCACUUAUAGAUGGAUCCGCGCCGCAUUAGCUAGUUGGUAAGGUAACGGCUUACCAAGGCAACGAUGCGUAGCCGACCUGAGAGGGUGAUCGGCCACACUGGAACUGAGACACGGUCCAGACUCCUACGGGAGGCAGCAGUAGGGAAUCUUCCGCAAUGGGCGAAAGCCUGACGGAGCAACGCCGCGUGAGUGAUGAAGGUCUUCGGAUCGUAAAACUCUGUUAUUAGGGAAGAACAAAUGUGUAAGUAACUAUGCACGUCUUGACGGUACCUAAUCAGAAAGCCACGGCUAACUACGU
rnacentral:rRNA from 1 species